GCCAUUAACGCCAUAAUGUGGACGAACGCCCCUGCUCGAAUUCUGACCUCCCCUGCUCUUAUAAAAGGUACCCAGACGAGAGCCUCGAAGCCACUCACUAGCCCAUCCGAACACCCCUCUCUGAACCUCCUCCUCUGCGAGCAAUUGCUCGUCGGAGUUCGGCAACUCCGGCGGCCGCUCCACGCCGCCACGGGACAAGUCCGAGCCUGUGAUCUUAUCCAAAGGACUACCCUUGUCGACCUCUUCGCCGUUCUGCUACUACUUGACGUUGGGGGCCUUCUUCCUCAACUCCGGCGACUUUUUUCCCCAACUCCGGCGACUAACUCCGGUGAGCACUGUGUAAAUCCCGUAAUUGUUUUUCAGAAAAAUACUCAAAUUCGGAAAUUCAUAUCUCCUAGACCGUAAGUCCGAAUUCGACAAAUUUUAUAUCCACGGAUUCAUUGAGACACGAAGUUUAUCAUGAGACAAAAAUAUUUCACUUUUGGUAAAUUAAAUUUGACACAAAUUUAAAAUUUGUAUUUGAGUAUUUUUUGCUAUAUCUAUUAAUCUGUAAUUCUUUUGAAAAUGUUUCCUUCAACAAAAUUGAUCCUUCGGUCCAUAUCUUGCUGUUAGAAUUUUUUUCCUAAUUGUUCACCUAUGUCUAGCCACUGUUUCAACCUUAACACUUCAUAUAGUUUUUCUUUUAUCGUAAUUCAAUUUCAUCAUUAGUUUAAUUUGAUUCUUGAUUCAACUUUCUUGAGAAGAUCAUUAGGAACCUCUCUGGUCAUAUGUUAUCAUUAUACAAAUUUAAACUUCACGAGAUGUUACAUACAUUUUGUAACAUAAAUCUUUGUGCCACAAACUCCAUCUACCAUUUUCAUUAUAGACUUUGUCGUAAAACCUUGCCUCACAACUCUUCAGCCCCUGAUCUUCACUUUGACCCAACCCUAGAACAAAAUCUAUAUCAUAUUUUCAUUCUUGAUCUUAUCUCAACCCGUAACCAAGUCCUAACAACUUAUGUAGGAAUGUUUUUUUAUUUUGUAUUAUAAUUUGAAUAUUUUAUUUGGAUCUUUAUUUGAAUGUUGUUGUGUGUUAAAGUACUUUCUUAUAUCGUUAGAUAUAUCGUAACGAGAAGGAGAGACGACUCAAUAUAAUUUUUAUCUUCAUCAACAGUACAAGGCAAGUUACAUCUUGAUCAUGCCCUUUUAUACCUAUGUUUUAUAUAUGCAUUUAGUCCUUCGAUGUAGGGUUUGCAUGAAUAUGUUAGUUGGCUAUAUUAUAAACCCAGUAGUGCAAUGAGGUAGGUCUGAGCCUUUACUUCUUUGUCGCCAACGUUGUAGGGAUUUUUGUUAUGCCAUUGUAGACGGGGAUUGGUAUGUGAGAUCAUGAAAGUUGCGAGUGAUAUAAUAAUUAAGGGCAACCUUAAGGCGGCAACAUUAACACACAUCUGGGUGGAUUGGUAAGGGGCACCCUAGAGAAACCAGUGGACUUGCCCGGGCACCCUGGAGAAACCAGUGGACUUGCCCAGGGGAUCCCGGAGUACCCGUGUGAUCACCCUAUGGACUGCCACUCAGACUCAAAGGGAUUCAUCAAUUUUUCAUGACUAGAAGCUUACCUGCACAGCCAGAAGCUAUUAUGGGCUCUGGCUUAGUUGAGUACGUUGUGUGACCUCUUACAGUGGUAGACUAGCAGAUGUAGUUAUAUAUGUAGGUGCACCGGUCCUACCCAGGGUUAAGAGGGAACACUUCAGAAAGACUAUGUCUCGAUCUUCCGGCUCUCAAACACCAGGCAGUGCGAGGACUGCAAAGGAGGUGAUCGAGUCUUGUGGGGAAAAGUGUGCAAAACUCUGCAGAGUGUAAAACUAAUCGAUUAGCCGUGUCCCCGGUUAUGGACAAUUUGAGCAUCUGGAAAGUGGGAAUUGAGCGAUCUCAUCACUCUUAAUUAAUUUAAUGGGUUUUAAUGAAUUUGGGUAUAGAUUGAAUGGAGCAACCAUCUCAAUCAUAUUAUGAUGAAUUAUGUAGUAACAAUAUGAUAUUCUUUUGAUGAUAGGGAAAAAUCAGCUUUAUGCAAAUUAAAUUUAGAACCAUCCACCAGCCAUAUUGCAUGUAUAAAUAGGACAUUUAUUCAUCUCUUGUGGUGUGACUUACCAGUACAUUCAACGUACUGACCUACACGGCUGCAACAUAUUAUGUUGCAGGUAUUAUUCGACGAGUAAGUGAUACGAUAGGGUUACGGUCCGCACUCAACUUGCAGAUGGCGUUGAUGGGACUCCACACCCGUUUGCCUGUUUUCGCUGAGAUUCUUAAGGUAUAUAUCAGUUUUUUUACUUAUACAUGUGAUUGCACUUUGAUAUAUACAUUGAUGUACUCUGUGUGCUCGCAUACCGAUCCAGGGAUAGCACAGAUACACAGAGACUUGACCGUUUGAGGUCGGGUCGCUACACUUAGUUGUGAUCUUCAUCGCAUUUGUUGUGAUGAGGGUAAGUUUUCUCUAGUGUUUUGCUUAACAAAUGCAUACUUAGCUUACUUUCCUCCUAAAUGGCAUAACUACCCAAGUUAGACAAAAAAUGAGCUAUACUUAGCUUUCUUUCCUCAAAAAUGUCAUGAUAAUCAUUGUUACCUCCAAAAUGAUAUAGACUUACCUUACUUUCCUCGAAAAUGACAUAAUAACCGUAGUAAGCUCCAAAAAUGACCUAUUUACCUAGCUUAGCUCUAAAAUGACCUACACUUAGAAAAAGAAAGAGAAGAAAAAAAUCUUCUUCUUCUUCCUUUUCUUCCUCUUCUUCUUCUUCUUCUUCUUCUUCUUCUUCUUCUUCUUCUUCUUUUUCUAGAUAGUCUUCUUCUAACUUGCUUCUUUCCCAAUUUGCAGAUUUGCUUUAUUAGAUGAGGAAGCUUGCGUUGACGGAGUCUACUCUUCUCUUUAUGCUUCCUUCUUGUUUUGAUUUUGUACGAUGAACAAUGUCAAACUUGCUACCUAUAUAUAUGUGUGUGUGUAUAUAUGUGAAAUUCUGUCAAAUUGAAUGGUUUCAAGAAAAACAGAAAAAACAGGGGCUAUAUAGACUCUUUGCCGUGAGCUGGUUUAACCCCAUAGAAAAAUGAUGACCCAAUAGAUACCAUUAGUCCC
rnacentral:lncRNA from 1 species